rnacentral:tRNA from 1 species
UUAAUUGAAACCAAAUUAGAGGUCUAUCACUGUUAAUGAUAAAAUUGAGGUAUAACUCCAAUUAAA